UCUCAUAACUAGGCAGUAAAGAUACUUGAUUCAUGGCUUGCACAAUCCGCACAUAAGCUCAGGACUCCUGAGGUAAAAUGAUGUCCACAACUGUACCCACUCUUAUUAGUAUCCCAGAGAAGUCCUGAACUGGGAAAAAGGAAAGGAACAGAGGCAACCUUACAGGAAUAAGAAGGCCAGUGUUGAAAAGCUACAUUUCAAAAGAAGAUGAAGACAAGAAUGAAAACCAGGGAUAGCCUUUAUUUCUUCCCUGAACAUUUGGACAGCAUAGCUUUUCAGUUAUUUUCCCAGCCAGACAAAACAGUUAUGGUGAAUCUGGAACUGAGUUGCAGGAGGAGAGGGGGCUUUUUCCCCAGGAGGAAAUACAGUUAAUAGCCAGCAGGAAAUUGCAGAAUUGAUCUGCUCAGUGGAAAAUCUGGAUGGAGUUUGAAAAGCAGCAGCAAGACCUUUCAUCUUCACUAUGUUUCAUAAUUUCAGAAACCCUUAUCAUCUUACAGGAAUACCUAUUAGUGAAAAUAACUGUUCUAAAGUUUCCACAAAACAAUUCUUAGGUGGGAAAUGAGUGUUGUUCUGGGAUUAUGGAUGGCGCUAUAUCUCCAAACCCAGGGAAAGCUAAAGAGAAAAGCAUGUUUCAAAAAACAUUGUAGAAAGUCCUAUAAAGGUGAUGCUGUGCUUUGACUGACAAAGGAAAGUGUUCAAAAACAGAGGGUU